UCCUAGUUAACCUAGGCAGUCUCGUUAUAGUUCCCACCUUAAAUGCUGGCAAAUAACGAUAAGGGUUGCGCUCGUUGCGGGACUUAACCCAACACCUCACGGCACGAGCUGACGACAGCCAUGCAGCACCUAUAUAGCAGUCCUUGCGGAAAAUACCAUUUCUGGUAUCGUCUCCUACAUUUCUAACCUGGGUAAGGUUCUUCGCGUUGCAUCGAAUUAAACCACAUGCUCCACUGCUUGUGCGGGCCCCCGUCAAUUCUUUUGAGUUUCAGCCUUGCGACUGUACUCCUCAGGCGGUAUACUUAUCGCGUUAGCUUCGACACAAUCAGGGUUGAGCCUAAUUACAUCAAGUAUACAUCGUUUAGGGCAAGGACUAC
rnacentral:misc_RNA from 1 species